UCGUAACUGGGCCAAAGCUUGUUUGC
rnacentral:piRNA from 1 species